AAAGUUUUAGUUAUACUCACGUAUAUACUUUAAUAAACCCAUUCCGAGUACCUUACCCGUUGCUUCCGUGGAGCAGGACCUCGGUCCGCUCUGACUAUGCCCUUGCGGCGUACGAUGAGUAGUCUUCACGGGAGGUAUACAUUAAACUCUUGCAUUUCCAUGUCAUCUGUCUGAAUACUGUUUAUAACAAAUGUUA
rnacentral:misc_RNA from 1 species